UCGGGAAUUUUGGGCAAUGGGCGAAAGCCUGACCCAGCAACGCCGCGCGAGGGAUGAAGUAUUUCGGUAUGUAAACCUCGAAAGAAUGGGAAGAAUAAAUGACGGUACCAUUUAUAAGCUCCGGCUAACUACGUGCCAGCAGCCGCGGUAAUACGUAGGGAGCAAGCGUUGUUCGGAUUUACUGGGCGUAAAGGGCGCGUAGGCGGCGCGGUAAGUCACUUGUGAAAUCUCUGAGCUUAACUCAGAACGGCCAAGUGAUACUGCUGUGCUAGAGUGCGGAAGAGGCAACCGGAAUUCUUGGUGUAGCGGUGAAAUGCGUAGAUAUCAAGAGGAACACCUGAGGCGAAGGCGGGUUGCUGGGCCGACACUGACGCUGAUGCGCGAAAGCCAGGGGAGCAAACG
rnacentral:rRNA from 1 species